AGGAGAUCAAGACCAUCCUGGCUAACACGGUGAAACCCUGUCUCUACUAAAAACACAAAAAAGUAGCCAGGCGUGGUGGCGGGCACCUGUGGUCCCAGCUACUCCGGAGGCUGAGACAGGAGAAUGGCGUGAACCCGGGAGGCGGAGCUUGCAGUGAGCCGAGAUCGCGCGAGCUGGGCAGGGCUCAGGUGGAGGGGACAGGCAGUCCAGGAAGGGGAAGUAACUGGAGCACGGUGACCACCUUGGAAGCAAAAACAAGCCUAGUGCUGAUGAAUUCCCUUAUUUGGGUGCCCAUGGACAAAUGGUUCGAAUUUUCUGCUCAACCACUGUUUAUUUGUGCAACCUUGGGCAUGUUACGUUCUGAGACUGAGCUGUUCAUCUCGAAUAUGAAUAUUAAACACCUACCUUGGAUUUGGAGCGUAUGAAU
rnacentral:lncRNA from 1 species